rnacentral:ncRNA from 1 species
UGAAAAGAUAAAAACACAUUCUGGUUGGUAGUCCAGAAACAAUAUUAAAUAUAUUGUCAGUAACCUGCCCCUCUGGGUUGUCCAUUCUUUUUGUA